rnacentral:lncRNA from 1 species
AACCCCGUUUUUGAGCAGGAAGAGACCAGGCAGGACAACAACCACGUUCUUGAGCAGGAAGAGAGCACACCUCAAGCCCAUCACCUGGAAGAGAGAACACAGGACAUUCCUCACCAGGAAGAGACCGCGCAGGACAACAACCUCGUUCUUGAGCAGGAAGAGAGCACACCUCAAGCCCAUCACCUAGAAGAGAGAACACAGGACAACCCUGAU